rnacentral:rRNA from 1 species
UACGGAGGGUGCGAGCGUUAAUCGGAAUUAUUGGGCGUAAAGGGUGCGUAGGUGGUUAGAUAAGACAUAGGUGAAAUACCUGGGCUCAACCUAGGGCGGCCCUAUGAGACUGUUUGACUCGAGUAUAGGAGAGGGUAGUGGAAUUUCCGGUGUAGCGGUGAAAUGCGUAGAUAUCGGAAGGAACACCGGUGGCGAAGGCGGCUACCUGGCCUGAUACUGACACUGAGGCACGAAAGCGUGGGGAGCAAACAGG